rnacentral:lncRNA from 1 species
UUUGUCUGUUAUAGGAUGUGGAUUGAUGAUUUGGAGUUAUCUGAAAAUAUGUAAUUGUUUUUCAUGGUAAACACAAACUCAUGAAAAUAUCAACAAUUUUGGUAGCAAUGAAAUUACAGCGUAGACGUGCUUUUCUGAUUUGUGUCCGAGUCUUCUUAAAUCUUUAGGUGUCUCAUACAGGUAGAAAUUAGAUCAGUAUCAAAAAUGGUAACCAUGUGGCAAGUCGGGCUUAUAUGUUCAACUGAUGCCCCAGGACUUGUGAGACCCAGUGGACCAUGAUGAUUUGCGUUCCGUUCCCAUCAGGAUGGAUGCGACGUAACCAACUUGCAACCUGAAUUUUUCGGUUCAAUAGAACUGACCGCUAACAGGUGUUGAUCCGAUUGAUGAGAAUUAGCAGCCAGGCUCCUUGGAGAUGUUACCUGGUAAGCUGUGAUACAAAAGGAACAUCUGGCUGUGAAACCGUGUGGUAUUUAAGGUCGGCAGUACCGUAGGCAAAGGUCCACGGAGAAAGGUCAGCUAUUAAAUUUUGAUUUCUUGCCUACAUCGCAUUGUGUAAACAGCAUUUCCAACAGUGUAUUAUAGCAACAAAGCCUGUGGCGAACUUAUGGCCUGUGGGGGUGCAAUCCAGUCAAAUUGAAUCGGGCAGCUAGAAGCUGAAAUUUGAUUCAAUUGAAAAUAUUCAAACUCGAAAUUCAACAUUGAUCGGGUCUUAAUUUCCAAGCUCAAAUUUAGUUCGACAAAAAAUAGAUAAAACUAGAAAUUGAUUCGAUUCGAAUAUCAAGUCAUACU